rnacentral:rRNA from 1 species
CCUACGGGAGGCAGCAGUGGGGAAUAUUGGACAAUGGGCGAAAGCCUGAUCCAGCAAUGCCGCGUGAGUGAUGAAGGCCUUAGGGUUGUAAAGCUCUUUUACCAGGGAUGAUAAUGACAGUACCUGGAGAAUAAGCUCCGGCUAACUCCGUGCCAGCAGCCGCGGUAAUACGGAGGGAGCUAGCGUUGUUCGGAAUUACUGGGCGUAAAGCGUACGUAGGCGGUUAUUCAAGUCAGAGGUGAAAGCCUGGAGCUCAACUCCAGAACUGCCUUUGAAACUAGAUAGCUAGAAUCUUGGAGAGGUGAGUGGAAUUCCGAGUGUAGAGGUGAAAUUCGUAGAUAUUCGGAAGAACACCAGUGGCGAAGGCGACUCACUGGACAAGUAUUGACGCUGAGGUACGAAAGCGUGGGGAGCAAACAGGAUUAGAUACCCUGGUAGUCCACGCCGUAAACGAUGAUAACUAGCUGUUCGGGCUCUACGAGCUUGAGUGGCGCNGCUACGACAUAAGUUAUCCGCCGUCGGGAGGUACGGUCGCGAAGAAUUAAAACUAACAAAGAAAGUUAGUACGGCGUGAGACGUAGCCGACGGACGACGACGAGGGAGGAGG